UUUCCUUCCCGAUGACGACAAAUAGUAUUUUUAACUGCCUCUUUCAGGUGCAACACGCCAUAUCAUAGAUCAUAGAUUUUGUAUUGUAAAUACAAUACUUACACAAAGUAUAUCGUUGCCAUAUAACUCGACGAAUUUUAAAAGCUACAUAAAAAAAUGGCUAAUCAAUCAAAUAACCGUGCAAUUGAUGACAUGAAACUGUGGUCUGUAAAAUGUCUGAAUGUAAAAGCUGGUCAGAAGUGUUGUUACAUCCGAAGUUGCGCUAUACUGCCAAAUAAACAACUUAUAUUUGCCGAUGAAAACAACCAACGACUUGUUGUGAUAGGAAAUGACGGCAAUCAUGUAUUUGAUAUUAUAGUCUCUCAUAGACCGUUUGAUAUUGAACCCAUAGAUUCUGAAAAAAUUGCUGUGUCCUAUGGAAUGGCAAAGUAUAUUGAAAUAAUAAACAUAGGAAAUAAGAAAGUAGAAAGCCGAAUGAAUUUGAAAGGAUUUUGUUCCGGAAUCACCCUUGUUAAUGGAAAACUACUUGUUCUUGUGAACGGACAUGGAAUACAAGAAAUUGAUUUAACGAAACAAACUAUUACCUCAUUAGAAUUGCCAGUUAAACAGUCAUUUGUAAUCACUUCCGGUGGUGAUCGCUUAUACUGUGCGGAUUUAAAAUCCAAUUCUUUGUGUUGUUAUAUGUCGGGGAUAUUGGUCUGGCGGUUGACAUCCCCUCUGUUGCAGAUCAGCCAAGCUAUUUCUGCUGAUGCAUGCGGCAAUGUAUUUCUGGCAGAGACCGAUAGUAAUCAAAUUGUAGCAAUCUCAUGUGAUGGUGGAAAUACCCGAAAACUGUUGGAUGACAAGCAAGGGAUUAUUUUACCAUCAGCGGUGUAUUAUGACAAAUCUACAAAACAUUUACUAGUUUGUAACAGAGAAAACGGUCGAGCUUUCUUGUACAGUUUAAUGUAAUAAAUAUAAAUAAAAGGUGAUAUGGGUAUGCGUCAAUUCGACGUGCUUAGAUUUCAAAUAUGAUGUAGACCACAUUUUUUUUUACUUGAACAUGUCACGCCAUAGUUGUUUCUUUAAAUAAAAACAAAAUAAAGUAAUGAUAGAAGAUGA